ACCGAAUCAAAAAUAUUAAAUGGAAUAAAUAAAUAACCCGCUCUUGCCUUAUGGUUAAAGGCGGGCGACAAACCGAAUCAAAAAUAUUAAAUGGAAUAAAUAAAUAACCCGCUCUUGCCUUAUGGUUAAAGGCGGGCGACAAACCGAAUCCAAAAAUUAUAUAAAUCGAUUCAAAAUUAAAUACAAAAAAAAAAUUACAAAAACAAAAUCACACAUAAUUAUUAUUUAACACUAAACAUGCAAAUUAUUAUUAAUAAACAUGUAAAUUAAUCUUAAACAUAAAUAAAUUUACAAACUUAAUUCUAAGCAUUAUAAUUAUUUUU
rnacentral:lncRNA from 1 species